GGGGCAGCAAGGGGCGCCCCAAGUAGGAGUAAUCCUACUUGGGCGCCUCCCACAAGUUGGCCUUCCCCCUUUCAUUAGUGUCGGAGGGGGAAGGAAAGAGAGGGGGAGAGAAGGAAAAGGGGGAGGCUGAAUCCUCCCCUUUCCUU
rnacentral:sRNA from 1 species